rnacentral:tRNA from 1 species
GCGCCCGUAGCUCAGGGGACAGAGCGUCGGACUUCUAAUCCGAUGGUCGGGGGUUCGAAUCCUCCCGGGCGCG